rnacentral:misc_RNA from 1 species
AUGGAUACAAAUUUGACAGGUAGUUUCAUUGUCGUUAUUAGGAUAUCAAUUAGCUUCUCCUACUAGUUCUUUGGUUUUAGCUUCAAUUAUUUCAUUUGUUCUUUACCUAUUUUCUUGGUAACCCUCUGAUUGGGACUCUUUCAUCUGGCUUGGUUCAGAUUUUUUUUUUUAUUUAUUUUUUAAAAUAUUUUGAUUCAUCAUUAGAGUUUAACUAGUCUUUUGAAUCUUUGAUAUGCACCUUGAGCGAUUUGUGAUGUUUCAAAGUCAUAUUAAAGUUUAACCCUCCUGGAUCUAUAUUACUAGAAGGUAAACGUCAGUAUCUGCAUUUGCAUUUGAUUUGUAGUAUCAGAAUCAUUAUACGAGAUUCUGAUUGUGAAUAUAUGAAAUAUAUCAACACAAAGUCACCAAUCCCUGAAUGAAAUGUCAUUUACCAGAAAUAGUUUAUACUGUGUUCGCUUAUUGUUAAACUACUCAAAAUCAUGAUAGAACCUUUUUCUUUUUGUGGAGUUGCUUUG